AGAUGCAACCCACAUUCCCCAAAAGCACCAGAUCCUGUCUGAUCUUGGAGGCUAAACAGAAUUAAACUUGGUUAGUCCUUGGAUGGGAGAAUUCAAAUGAAUACCUGGAGCUAUGUUUU
rnacentral:rRNA from 11 species